rnacentral:misc_RNA from 1 species
UUUCCGUAGGUGAACCUGCGGAAGGAUCAUUAUUGUAUAUUCCAGGAACGAGGGCUGUAGCUGACCCUUAAAGCGCGGCACGCCCGAGCGCCCUCACACACAUCCAUCUCACCUCUACGUGCACCACGGCGUGCGUCCCCCUUAGCCUUAAUCGGAGGGGGGCUUACGUCUUCACUCAAACUUAGUAUUAAGAGUAGCAUGUAUUUUUUGUUUUUUCGAUGACUCAAUGAAUACCACUUUCAACAACGGAACCCUUGGUUCUCACUCCGAUGAAGAAGG